AGCUGUGGAUUCAGAAGGCAGGACUCCAGGAUCCCCUCCACCAUGGCCUGGUCCCCUCUCCUGCUCACCCUCCUGGCUCACUGCACAGGAUCCUGGGCCCAGUCUGUGCUGACUCAGCCGUCCUCAGUGUCUGGGACCCCGGGCCAGAGGGUCACCCUCUCCUGCACUGGAAGCAGCAGCAACAUCGGUGGCAAUUCUGUGUACUGGUACCAACAGCUCGCAGGAAAGGCCCCCAGACUCCUCAUCUAUGGUAACAGCAAUCGGCCCUCAGGGAUUGCAGAUCGAUUCUCGGGCUCCAAGUCUGGAACGUCGGCCUCCCUGACCAUCUCAGGGCUCCAGGCUGAGGACGAGGCUGUCUAUCACUGUCUCUCCUAUGAUGACAGCCUCAAAGCUCACACAGUGCUUCAAGCCAGGGGGGAAGUGCGACAAGAACCCUCGGUCUGCAGCCCUGGGGCUUCUCUGCUCAGCUCCCACCGGGGCCAAGUCAGCUGCUCCUUUGUUUGUUUGGUCUAA